GUCUACAACUAUAACAUCAUGGACAAACCCAAUCUCAUCUGAUUUCAGAAGCUAAGCAGGAUUGAGUCUGGUUAAUAUGUGAAUGAGAGACUGCCUGGGAAUAUCAAGAACCGUAGGUU
rnacentral:rRNA from 1 species